AAAAAAAACUUUUAUAUCCAGUUCCGCGAGGACCUCUUUGGAAUUUUAAAGGGUAGUUAAUAUAUAUACAAUCAAUUCAUGCUGUCAUGACCUCCCAUCGAUGGAUUCCCCUCUUCUACUCUCCUCUGUACCAUCCGGAGCUCAACAGGAUGAGGAAGACCAUGACCCGAUCAAAGACUUGACAGUCCAGGAGCAAAGCAAUCUUAUAUCUUCUCUUCCAAAACGAGAAGGUUGGAUGCGUGUCCUCCGGAGGUACCAAGGCUUCUGGAUUUCUGAUGUCGCUAUUCCACGCCUGAUGGCCAUCCAAGCCCACUUCAAACCUCGACCCACCGAUGUGAUCCUCGUCACCCAACCGAAGGCCGGCACCACCUGGCUCAAAGCUCUCGCCUUCGCCAUCGUCAACCGCUCCAACUACUCUUUCUCCCAGCACCCAUUACUCAGCCGCAACCCCCACGAGUGCGUCCCUUUUAUAGACUUGCCCUACGUCGGCGGCCAUGCCGCCGACUAUAAAUCACUCGCUCAGCCACGGCUCCUCGCCACCCACAUCCCAUACUCGCUGCUGCCGGCCUCCGUUGCCGACUCCGAUUGCCGGCUUGUUUAUUUGUGCCGAGACCCCAAGGACGUUCUGGUCUCGUUGUGGCACUUCAUGAAGGCGAUGAAGCCCGAGAUCAUGGAAUUGAGUCCAGCUUUUGAGAUGUUUUGCGACGGGGCCACUCCCUACGGUCCAGUCUGGGAGCAUAAUUUAGAGUACUGGAGGGAGAGUCUGAGGAGGCCCGAGAAGGUGUUGUUUUUGAAGUACGAGGAGAUCGUGGCCGAGCCGAUGAGGAGUGUUAAAAGUCUGGCGGAGUUCAUGGGGUGCCCGUUCUCGGAGGAGGAGGAGAGGGAUGGGGCGGUGGAGGAGGUCGUAAGGUUGUGCAGUUUUGAGAAGCUCAGCAGCAUGGAAGUGAACAAAAGGGGAGUUGGGCUGAUGGGCGGGGUAACGAUCCAGCAGGCGAACUUCUUUAGAAAAGGCAAGGUGGGUGACUGGGUGAAUCAUUUGAGCCGUGACAUGGCAGAGAGACUGGAUCGGCUGGUCCACGAAAAGUUGAAUGGAUCAGGCCUGACCUUUCAACUGAUGAUAAAUACAUCAAAUCGGCUUCUUCUCGACACGAUCCUCUCGGCCAUCUAUGAUUUUUGGCCAUCAAUCAGGGUUAUUUUCGUGAUUUUGUUCUAGCGGGACGAACGGAAGGCGCCGGUGAGAUCCUUCUCGUCGAUGGCAGCGCCGCCCUCGGUUCUCACCACCAUGGCGAUGAAGAUGGAAGAAGUAUGGCGACGCUGCCCUUAGUUCCGACCGCGAUGGCAAUGAAGAAAGGAUGACGUCGAUCAGAUUCCUGUCGGCCAUGGCGACGCCUCUCUCGGUUUUCGCCGCCAUGGCGAUUAAGAAAGGAAGACGUCAGCGAGAUCCCUCUUGGAGUGGCGACGCCGCCCUCGGUUCUCCCCGCCGUGGCGAUGAAUCUGGACUUUUCUUUCUCGUAACCGUUGGUGAUUUUUAUUUCCUCCACCUUGGAAUCACCUGAUGCAUUCCAGAAGCGUUGAGCUGGUUUUGAUUAAGUACUGCCCGUUGCCAAGUUGCAUCCAAGGAGACCAAGAAGAGAUGAGAUCGGGCAUAGUUUGGAGUUUGAUGUUUUUACAUGGUUCGGAGUUCUUUCCAUCGAUGAUCAUCAACUAAGCGGGCAUGUCUUCUUACACGUUUUUGGGGCUAUCUGUGGACGAGAUGCAAUCAUGAUGAGGUAAAACAGGAUCAGGUUAGAGUAAUUUUGGUCUUCUUGCACGCUUCUUAGGGCUACCUGUUGACGAACUAACCGUUCUUGCACAGAUUUGCAAUCAAGAAGUGGUAGGGAAAACUCUCUAACCUAAUAUGUCAAUUCGAAUAGUUGAGCAGCAAUCUCCGUUAAAAGCUACGUGUGAUAAUAUGUAAUUGGAGAAACUGCCCUCUAGAAGCUAAGCGGCGGGUGGGGUAGUAUGUCCCUGAGGAAUAAGAGGUAGGAGAGCAUCCGUGAUUGAGUCAUCUUUUUCUUUCCCCUGCCCUGUUUUUGUUUAUUAGCAUUCAGUAUGAAGGACUCAUAUAUUUAAGUGAUCCUUGCAUCUCAGUGCUUCUUAACCGUCCAGACAAUCUUUUGUUUUCCUCUAUUCACGACUACUGCUAUUCCUUUCUAGUGACAUGUUCCUUUAAAAUGAAUUCUCUUUGUAUUGCUAAUUUUUGACCCCAUUAUUUAA